GGUGGCUGUCACCGCCCCGUUUCUCUCCCGAUGGUGCUCUCCUGAGGCCAGCUGCCUGCGGGCGUCGCCCCGGGAUGGAGCACAUCCGGACAACCAAGGUAGUCGGCGGGAGAUCCUCGCAGCUGCCGGGGUCCAUUGGGCAGAGGCGGACGGGCAGUUUGGGGGUGCGGGGCCUCCGUUGAGGGCCGGCAGUUUGGGGGUGCGGAGGCCGUGUGGACAGCGCAGGCGCCUUGGCAGGAGGUGCUUGGGGAGUCGGCAAACGGUGGCCGCCCAGCGAGCUUUGCUCUUUUGGACAAGACUGGGGCUGCUUUUUACUUUGGGGGAUUUCGGCCGAUCGCCGCCUGGCUCGCCCCCAGGCUGGUGGGUCCAGUUAUCCAUCAGUGCUGUGCUGUUCUUGAACCAGUCUUGCUCUGGUUUAAGUGCCCCGCCCGCUCUUUUCCGCGGUGCAAAUAUUAGCGCAUCCGAGGCCACUCACUUUUCUAGUUCUCCAGACACUUAGAGUUGAUACUUCUGUGCUUCCAACUUUAGGCAUUGUCUUAAGUGUAGGGAGCCAACUUGACAGCAGUUAUGCAGAAGGGGAAAGAAAGGCUGUGUCAUAUUGUAAAAGGUCCAUGGAACUUUCCUAUAACUGAGCUUGUUUGUCAAGUCCGUGCUUAAUUUUUCUGUGUGAGAAGAAUUCAGAGAAUGGCCAAACUUCAGCCUCAGAAAGGGCCAAAACAGAAAUGGAGAUCAAAGGGCGUGAAUGACCUUUUAAGAUGAGGAAAAACACCUCUCUGGGCUUUGCCAGAGCCUUAACUGUCACUUACUGUCUGUCCUAAAGGUCUUAAAGUUACAGGUCAUUUGGGAAUAAACUGCAUUUUUUUCUUCAUUAUUCUUUAAAACGCUUCACAGUCCUUGAUGUUAUGGAUAACAUAACAUGAAUUUUUGUUAGGAUUUAUUUUGGAGUUUGCCUAUACUAUUUGUAGGAAAUGUGGAGGUGCUCCUCUUCCAAAAUUUUGGUUUUUUUGAGACAAGGUUUCUCUGUGUAGCUCUGGCUGUCCUGGAACUUGCACUGUAGACUAGGCUGGCCUUGAAUUUACAGAGAGCUAUCCUCCUUUGAUUCCAAGUGCAGGGAUUAAAGGUGUGCACCACCACUGCUUGGCAGAUUUUAUUUAUUUAUUUAAAGAGAAGGAACGUUUAAGUUGCUGACAUUUAAAAUUUGAAAAUGGGAGGAUGAUUCGAUGUACAGCAGAGGGUGCUAAGGCAGGGAAGAGAAUGAGAGUGAGCAUGGGAGCCCUUCUUGUCCCUGUCACAGGGCCCUAACAGCUGUCGGCUCAGAAACUGCCUUCUACUCUGAACCUCAUUGCUUGUUUGCUGCUGAGAAUCUCUCUCUCUCUCUCUCUCUCUCUCUCUCUCACACACACACACACACACACACACACAUCAGUGAAAGCAAACAGAAUCCAGUGAACUAAAAACACCCUGAUCACUAAGUGAGCACUGGUGGGAAAAUCUAGAUGAUUCCCUUCAUUAGUUACAAAAUGACCUCCGUCAGUUUAUGAAGAACCGAUCUGGCCUUUGGGGUGUAUAGCUGUCAUUUUUAUGAUCUUGAAGGUUGUUCCUGAUUAAACCUUACUGUCUUCCUGGUAGGCCCAUGCUGCUGUUAGGUAAGGCUGCUUUUUGCUCACCUUUUAGAUCUGACCUUUUAUGUCUUUUUUUAAUGGUUAAGAGAUUUCCAGUUGGUUUCCAACUGAAGUUGCUUCUUAAGGGACUGCCUUUGUUAUUUUGUGUCACUGUUGUGGCAAGGAGGCGUUUCUCUAGAGAAGUCUUAAGUGGGUGUAUAUAGACUAUAGUGGAACCGAGGUUUGCUGGGAACUAGCAUGUACACACUUGACUGACACUGGCAUCCCACACAAGAGCAUCAUGAACCUCACACUGUAGUCUGAUAAUUGUUAUAUAGACUCUACUGUUUCCUUAAAUUAUGGUUUGGAAAAAGUGUAGUCUUACAGAAUUGCUUUGAACAUAACCAAGUUUUUGUUUUUAUUAUGUAUACUCUUCUCCCAAACAUAUUUAAUUGCAUAAAAAUAUGUUUUAGGCUAGGCGUGGUGGCGCACGCCUUUAAUCCCAGAACUCGGGAGGCAGAGGCAGGCAGAUUUCUGAGUUCGAGGCCAGCCUGGUCUACAAAGUGAGUUCCAGGACAGCCAGGGCUACACAGAGAAACCCUGUCAUGAAAAAAC
rnacentral:lncRNA from 1 species